GCCGGAGCGAAUCGAUUUUAAAGUCAACCCUAUUGGAGAAAAGAUCGUCUUUAAUGGAUUCCCAACUGCAAACCAAGGAAAGUUUGCAAUUUACCUGAUGACCAUUGUCGAAAAAGAAAACGUAACUACCACUGGAGCUUUCCAAUUCUAUGCCCCGUUAACUGAUCCAAAAAAUGUAGUAAUCAAAUGCAUGGAAAAUAGCAUCUGGGGGUCAGAACGUACAUACCCUAAUCACUCAUUUCAGGCCAACGUUAUAUUUCAACUGGAGAUCACAUUGCUACCAAUGUCAAUUAAGAUCAACCACAAAAAUGUGCGCGAAUACAAUUACGAGUAUGCCAUUAAAGAAUCAGAUAUUCAAUAUUUUGGAUUUUUCGGAAACGUUCACAUCAGCGACAUCCUUACCACAUAGACAUCAGGACGUCAUUUACAAAGGGAAGUUUUUUUUAAUCUAUUUGUUGCUCUGCUAAUUAUAAGGACUUGUACUGUGACAUAGCUAAGAUAUUUCGAGCCCUUAUGCAAAAUGUAUUAGUUAAACGAAGAGAUGAACUGCUACUUUCGAUGGAUUAGUUUUAAAUAAUAGAAAUAUUCUGUACAUGGAU